rnacentral:rRNA from 13 species
UCAAGCAACUAAGCGCAUACGGUGGAUGCCUUGGCAGUCAGAGGCGAUGAAAGACGUGGAAGCCUGCGAUAAGGUUCGGGGAGCUGGCAAACAAGCUGUGAUCCGGGCAUUUCUGAAUGGGGAAACCCACCCGACUUCGGUCGGGUAUCUUGCACUGAAUACAUAGGUGUAAGAGGCGAACCGGGGGAACUGAAACAUCUAAGUACCCGAAGGAAAAGAAAUCAACCGAGAUUCCCUAAGUAGCGGCGAGCGAACGGGGACUAGCCCUUAAGCUAGACAACUGGUAGGAGAAGGCUCUGGAAAGUGCCGCCAUAGUGGGUGAUAGCCCCGUAUCCGAAACCUGAGUCUAGUGAAAUCGAGUAGGUCGGCGCACGAGAAACGUUGACUGAAUAUGGGGGGACCAUCCUCCAAGGCUAAAUACUCCUGACUGACCGAUAGUGAACCAGUAC